CACGUAGUUAGCCGGUGCUUAUUCUUACGGUACCGUCAUGACCCCAGGGUAUUAACCCAGGGCUUUUCGUUCCGUACAAAAGCAGUUUACAACCCGAAGGCCUUCAUCCUGCACGCGGCAUUGCUGGAUCAGGCUUGCGCCCAUUGUCCAAAAUUCCCCACUGCUGCCUCCCGUAGGAGUCUGGGCCGUGUCCCAGUCCCAGUGUGGCUGAUCGUCCUCUCAGACCAGCUACAGAUCGUCGGCUUGGUAAGCUUUUAUCCCACCAACUACCUAAUCUGCCAUCGGCCGCUCUAGUAGCACAAGGUCUCGCGAUCCCCUGCUUUCAUCCGUAGAUCUCAUGCGGUAUUAGCCUACUCUUUCGAGUACGUUACUCCCCCACUACUAGGCUACGUUCCGAUUGUAUUACUCACCCGUUCGCCACUCGUCAGCCAUCCGAAGACCUUGUUACCGUUCGACUUGCUAGUGUGUAAGGCAGUGCCGCCAGUCGUUCAUCUGACGCCAGGUAUACUAAA
rnacentral:rRNA from 1 species